rnacentral:rRNA from 1 species
UACCCGUCCGGUCGUACCGCGGCCGCUGCCAACAACGGCGGCGUCGUAGGUAGGUUCACCCGGUGAGGUGAGGGCCGGAUAGGUAGGUAGAUGGGUCGGUCAACGACGAGAACGAGUGCGGUAUAGGCGGGCACCUGGGCCGGGUGGUUAGUGGCGGGCGGACCUGGCGCCCGGGGCGCGCGGUCGCCGGGCAGGGGCGCAGGAGGACGGGCGGCAGGCGGCACUUGGGCCAGGUGCGUCAGCGGGGGGCGCCUCGAAGGUAGAGAAGAAGGAGCUAGGGAGGGAGGGAGGGAGGGUUAGGGAGGAGGUGGGGGGUGGGGAGGGAGGGGGCGGCGGCGCGUAAACGACCAGAGCCGCUCCCGGCGAGGAGACGAGCACACCCACCGGCACGGGAGCGGCCGCAGCGCAGCGCGGCCGGGAGCUUAGAGGCCGCUCGGCGAGCGCGGGGUUCGGGCUCGGGCGAGAUCCAGAAGGACGGUGGGUCUCAACAGCCACAUGACCAAAACUAUACCUCACUAACCACCUCGACCAGCAGGCCUUCGAGACGACCAAUUAGGCUACCCCUCGUUGCUAGGAUCGUGCGGCGGAUUCCGAAGCUUCGGUGGUCUUGUCCUCGUUGGAGGUCGAUGAUGGAGACCGUGAUGUCGAGGUCAAAUGGGACUUACCGGGCCGAAAGUCCCGAUGGGUCGCUACGGUGGUGUACCCAAAAAGGGGGGAGGACAACGACGUCCGGUCCGAGUAGGUAUGUACACCCCUCGAGUCGUGUACCACGGUGGAAUGCCCUGUGGUGGUGGGGGGAUAUACUACAUAGGUGGUCCUUGUCAUAUACGGGUGGGCUGAUGAGGACCACACGUAGGUAAAGUAAUAGGAUACGUUUGUUUACCUUUAGAACUUGGACGACCUCGAGUCCCUCGACGUGGUCCACGACGUCUUUGUUUACCCUUUUUACUCGGACCGUUUUGUAGACCAGGUAGACGGUUACCCCAAUGCAGGUUGUCACUUUCGCCUUCACUAUCACUCUCACUUCCUUCACUACGGUUAAGAGUUUUGCUAAGUGUAAGUUUCCUCUUACUACAUUUACUUUUACCGUCACGAGUCUUACCGCAUAGAGUAAGUAGUAGCGUACCUUGUAAAUUAUUUGGGUACGGCAACCAAGGUCAUGUUAGUCCACGUCACUAUCCUCCUCAACGACCAGGACGCUGUUUGAACUUGUAUCCCUACCUGAUGACCCCACGUUGACCGAGAAGUGGACAAGGACGUUACGCGCCGUUUCGUGGCAGACCAAGUCGAGCUCCUCUCGUUACCCUACUUUCCCUUGACUUCUUCGUCUUCUCCUUCGACAGGUUGGCCCUUAGGCGCGCUUCCAGGGCCGACGCGUUCGUCCGGCUCACACUUCUCGAGCCCGUCGCCCGACUCCGAAACUUCAGUCUCUUGAGCAGGGAGUCCUAGCUCGAGCUGGCCUAGUUUUUCCUUAUGCUCCUCGAGGAAAGCUUCUUGUGGAGAGAGUUCCGGUUCGAUCCCCUCUGGCCGCCACCGCUGAGCCAGGGGCUGUACUUGCUUGCCCCGCUGUGGUUGCCGCCGUCGGUGGUGUUCCUCGGGACUGACUACUGCGUACGCCGGAGAUGGUGAGAUGAAUGUAUCGAGCACUACUAACUACUAAGAACAUUGUUUGUUUGAACCGCCGGGGCUAGACGGUGUGUGUGUGUGUUAGUCUACUAAGAAGGAAAAAAAGACAGAGAAUAGCUGGACUGUUACCGCUACGACAGCGACGAUGGCGCCUUGAGUGAGGACACGAACACGAACUUUUCUCUCUAGUAAUACCCACGUGAAGAGUGGCACUUUUUAGCGCGUUUAAAGACGAGGGAAAAAAAGAGAAGCACAUACAAGGACGAGUAUACCUAUGCCGCACGCAACAUCCCCACUCACAUACACUUGCAGACGCAAACAUGCACUAAACUUUUCUUCCAAUGCACC